rnacentral:tRNA from 1 species
UCGGAAAUUAGCUGGAAAUGGGGCUGGUGGAAGUUGUCAAUUUCUCCGGGGUAGGUCAGGGGGUUGAACUUGCGGUCCCUAUCCGCAUUUCCGGU